GAUGAACGCUAGCGGCAGGCCUAACACAUGCAAGUCGAGGGGCAGCGUGGAAUGUAGUUUACUACAUCUGACGGCGACCGGCGCACGGGUGCGUAACGCGUAUGCAACCUACCGUUAACAGGGGGAUAAUUCGGAGAAAUCUGGUCUAAUACCCCAUAAUACUAUGAUAGGCAUCUAUUGUAGUUGAAAGCUCCGGCGGUUAACGAUGGGCAUGCGUUGUAUUAGUUAGUUGGUGAGGUAACGGCUCACCAAGGCUACGAUACAUAGGGGGACUGAGAGGUUAACCCCCCACACUGGUACUGAGACACGGACCAGACUCCUACGGGAGGCAGCAGUGAGGAAUAUUGGUCAAUGGACGCAAGUCUGAACCAGCCAUGCCGCGUGCAGGAAGACGGCUCUAUGAGUUGUAAACUGCUUUUGUACAGGGGUAAUUGCAUCUACGUGUAGGUGUUUGAAAGUACUGUACGAAUAAGGAUCGGCUAACUCCGUGCCAGCAGCCGCAG
rnacentral:rRNA from 1 species